GACGAACGCUGGCGGCGUGCUUAACACAUGCAAGUCGAACGGAAAGGCCCUGCUUUCGUGGGGUGCUUGAGUGGCGAACGGGUGAGUAACCGGAAAGUAAACUGAACUUGCCUUUGGGAUAACUUCAGGAAACUGGGGCCCAUACCGGUUAGGCGUACCUGCUGAAUGGUGGGGGUUGGAAAGUUUCGGCGGUUGGGGAUGGACUCGCGGCUUAUCAGCUUGUUGGUGGGGUAGGGGCUUACCAAGGCGUUGACGGGUAGCCGGCCUGAGAGGGUGAACGGCCACACUGGGACUGAGAUACGGCCCAGACGCCUACGGGAGUCAGCAGUGGGGAAUAUUGCACAAUGGGCGGAAGCCUUAUGCAGCAACGCCGCGUGCGAGAUUACGGCCUUCGGGUUGUAACCGCAUUCGCCUGUGACGAAGCGUGAGUGACGGUAAUGGGUAAAUAAGCACCGGCUAACUACGUG
rnacentral:rRNA from 1 species